GCCGAUGUAGCUCAGGGGCUAGAGCAACUGAUUCGUAAUCAGUAGGUCGGAGGUUCAAAUCCUCUCAUCGGCU
rnacentral:tRNA from 1 species